rnacentral:rRNA from 1 species
GUGGGGAAUUUUGGACAAUGGGCGAAAGCCUGACGCAGCCAUGCCGCGUGAAUGAUGAAGGUCUUAGGAUUGUAAAAUUCUUUCACCGGGGACGAUAAUGACGGUACCCGGAGAAGAAGCCCCGGCUAACUUCGAGCCAGCAGCCGCGGUAAUACGAAGGGGGCUAGCGUUGCUCGGAAUUACUGGGCGUAAAGGGCGCGUAGGCGGACAGUUUAGUCAGAGGUGAAAGCCCAGGGCUCAACCUUGGAAUUGCCUUUGAUACUGGCUGUCUUGAGUACGGGAGAGGUGAGUGGAACUCCGAGUGUAGAGGUGAAAUUCGUAGAUAUUCGGAAGAACACCAGUGGCGAAGGCGACUCACUGGCCCGUUACUGACGCUGAGGCGCGAAAGCGUGGGGAGCAAACAGGAUUAGAUACCCGAGUAGUCC